AUUGAACGCUGGCGACAGGCCUAACACAUGCAAGUCGAGCGGAUGAGGAGAGCUUGCUCUCUGAUUUAGCGGCGGACGGGUGAGUAAUACCUAGGAAUCUGCCUGGUAGUGGGGGAUAACGUCCGGAAACGGGCGCUAAUACCGCAUACGUCCUACGGGAGAAAGCAGGGGACCUUCGGGCCUUGCGCUAUCAGAUGAGCCUAGGUCGGAUUAGCUAGUUGGUGAGGUAAUGGCUCACCAAGGCUACGAUCCGUAACUGGUCUGAGAGGAUGAUCAGUCACACUGGAACUGAGACACGGUCCAGACUCCUACGGGAGGCAGCAGUGGGGAAUAUUGGACAAUGGGCGAAAGCCUGAUCCAGCCAUGCCGCGUGUGUGAAGAAGGUCUUCGGAUUGUAAAGCACUUUAAGUUGGGAGGAAGGGCAGUAAGUUAAUACCUUGCUGUUUUGACGUUACCGACAGAAUAAGCACCGGCUAACUUCGUGCCAGCCGCCGCUGUAACAC
rnacentral:rRNA from 1 species